UGACAACGGAAAAAAGUAUUUGGAUAGCAGAACAAAACGCCUUCUUCAUUUCAACCCUAAAAAUAUGCCAAGUACAAACAGGUACAAUCAAAAUACAGAAACCAUACACAUCAUUUCUUGACCGCAUCAGAAUUGACGGUCAUUUCCACACAUUUUCCUUCUGCAAUUGUCAAAUAUAAUGUGUCAUUGGACAACACUCUUACUCUUAUUACCGCGAUUGGCCCCUUGUCAAUUUGGCCAACUUGCUUUUGCGGGGAUUUUUUUUUUAUGUUGUACUUUCCCCAGUUUCACAUGGUUCGGGCGUCGAACAAUCUCCAAAUGUUUGAAUCUAUUCUUAUUUCCUCAAACGCCCUCACCUUCUUCAAAAUGGUUUCAUUGCUUCCAGACCAAUCAUAGCUUUUAAAAUCCGACUGAGAAUUAUGUGUGCAUAUCAUGUCACUAGAACCAACAAGAAGAGAAUUGUAGAAAGGAAAGUGAACCAAACAUAAAUGACUAGAAACGACAGAAAACAGAGAAUUGUAUUAAACAGACGGUGAAAGAGUUUAACAACAAAACAAGCAACACAAACUGGGGUACAAUCCUAAAACAAACCUAGAUAACACUAAAUAAGAUAAGAGGACUAAAGGAAGUAGACACAUAAAAGAAUAGAAGGAUUUGAAUCACAAGACAAUAUCUGGAUUACAACCCUGAAAAUAACCCGGACAACAAAAAUAACAACAAAAUAAACCACCAAGACUUCUCACCAACUGGCCAAGAGAUGAAGCGUCUUUCAAAUUACUAAGCUCAGCAUCUUAGCCACUGAGUUCUGCACCAAUAUUGCCAAGAUCAUAACCAACUUCGAUAUCAUCAGCUUCAGUCAACAAGUUCCCAAGAGGAUUUGCAUGCUCCCUGUCGCUGUGAUUAACCACAAUUACCCCUUCUUCAAUCAUUCUUUCUAUUUCCCUUUUCAAAUCCCAACAAUUUUCCACAUUGUGUCCCAGAGCAUUGGAGUGGUAUUCACACCUUUUAGAUGAGUCAAAGCUUCUCGCACGUCGGUCCACCUGAUUUGGAGGAAUGGGUGCAAUCAUGUCAUGUUNNNNNNNNNNNNNNNNNNNNNNNNNNNNNNNNNNNNNNNNNNNNNNNNNNNNNNNNNNNNNNNNNNNNNNNNNNNNNNNNNNNNNNNNNNNNNNNNNNNNNNNNNNNNNNNNNNNNNNUUUCAGCAACAAGACUCUUUUUCCCUCUUUUUUCAACAAAUAGCUUUUGUUCCCUUCUAUACCCCUGGCUUGGAUGUGGGUUAUAAGGUACUUUAAAAAUUUUCGCAGACGGGUGGAGAUUUUGUGAUACUCAUGCUCGCUUUCUUGGGUGAUUUGAUGGCUGGGCAACAUACUGGGAAGGAUCAACAGAGUAUGGGGGUUCGAAGAUGGAUAGUAAUUCUUAGGGGGGGUCAUGAAAAACCUGAUGAAGCUGCACAUACCUUCGAGAUGUUCUCCUAGGACCUCUUCUUUACCCUGAUAUCAUCAUGAUUUUUUCAUCCCUCUCAUCCGUGUUACCAAAUUCAAUUUGGACAGCCUGAGCUGCAGCUUUGAGAUCUGUUUGACUUAUAAUUCUGCCUAUCUUAAGACCGUUCUCCACCAUUCCUCCCAUUUUUUCUACUUCCGGGAAGGAUUUACCGACUGCGAAUGUCAUGUGUUGAAAAUAAUCUGGCUCUUAAGCCUGUAGAAAGAUAGUGAUUAACUCGUGGUCAUCCAUGGGUAGCUUAGCUCGAGCUGCCUUCUCUCUCCAUUUAAUGGCAUCUUCCCUGAAACUUUCAGUUGGUUUCUUUUUUAGGUUAGAAAGGGAAAUACGGCCUGGGACGACGUCGAUGUUGUAUUGAAAAUUUUUGACAAAAGCCCGUGCCAUGUCAUCCCAAACAUACCAAAAAGUUGUGGCUUGAUACAAAACCAUUCAGAUGCUACUCCCGAGAGGCUUUCCCCAAAAUAAGCUAUAAGCAAUUGUUCAUUUUCUCCCACACUUCUCAAUUGGAUGCAAUACCUUUUCAGGUGGGCUAUGGGGUCUCGUCCAUUGUACUUUUCAAAUUUGGGAGCCUUGAAACCAGGCGGCAAGUGGAAAUCGGGGAACAUACAUAGAUCUCUAAAGGCAACGCUCGUUUGACCUGCCAUUUCUUGCGUAUUUUUCAGCCACUGUUCCAAUUUUUUCACUCCUUGGGCUAUUUCUUCAUGUACUCUCGUUCGGGCAAGCUUCUCGAUGUUUGCGGGAAGAUCAAAUGAAUACGAGCGGUACUCAGGAGAGUAGUACUAUUCUUGUUGUGUAGCAAUUCGUGACUUGUGACAAGGCUGUCCAUGGCUAUUGGCCCAUGCUUGAUGUAUUUCAGUCAUUUUCUAUUUCGGUGUUAUAUUUUCCUCAAACACCGUAGACCCUAGUUGAACCCUCUGACACUGAGUCUGUAACAGCUUCGAUGUCAGAUACCAUUUUCCUCGGAUCUUGUGUUUCCAUCUUACCACAACCAACCACCUCAACCUUCUUCACAAUUCAAAACAAAACAUGUUAGCAUGGACUGAGUCGGUCCUCAUUAUUAACAUCUUUUCCAUUUUUUCUUCAAUUCUUCUUUUCCAUUUUUCAUUCAUGUUUUUUUUUUGUUUUGGCUGUGGUCGAUUCCUAUGUGGAUUUCCUACGUAUCGUGACCCCACACGAAUCAGACCAGGCGUAGUUCAUGCAAAUAAAAGGUAAACGACAAUAAAAUAUUUUUGGUAUUUUCUAUUUUUUUUAUAAUAACCACAAAAUAUUUUUGGUAUUCACUAGACCAUUGACUAUUUUCUUAUUUUUUUCAAAUUAAAAUAAAUGACCCGGUAUUGCAAACACUCCCUUCCAACGCCUCAGGGACGAAGGCAAUGAGGGUCAAAAAUCAAAAUAUGACCAGAGGUGGCUGUUUAUGCGAAGUCAGUCUUCCGGUGCCCUGCUUAGGAAUGUUUGGAUAUCUUUGCAAAAACGGCAUCACCUGGUUUAUUUAUGACAUAAAUUAAAAUUUUGAUAUUUUUUGGGCUAUUUUUGUAAUUGGGAGGUUGGACCCGAUGAGGAUUGCCUACGUAUCUCACGCCCAGUGAGAAUCAAACCAUGCGUAGUUUAGGAAAAUUAACCGAACUAUUUUAAAAUAGGACUCUUUUUCAUUUUCAUUUUUGGCAUUUUAUAAACAAAAAAAAAUACUUUCAGAAACAAGACUCUUUUUCCCUCUUUUUUCAACAAACAAUAAAACAACCUAUUUUUCCAAGCUAAAAGUAAAAGACUUUUUUUUCCUUUUCUUUGUCAAGAAAUAAUAAAACAACCUACAAACUAAAAUAAAUACUCCUUUUCUUUUUCUUUUUCAACAAACAAUUUUCAAAAAAAAAAUGAAAGACACCUGUUUUUUCUAUUUUUCCUUUGCUUUUAAUAGAACUACAUAAAAACAUUUUCUUUUUUUCAUUUUCUUUUCAAAAUUUUUGCAGAGCUGACAGUACUUGGGCAUCAGAUUUUAUCCAAAUAUAACUCCCUAACUGUUAUUUUUCUCAUUUUCUCUAUUUUUGACUUUUAUCAAAUUCCGGCAUUUCAAAAACCGGUCAACAUGCUGGUUCGAAGAAAUAAAUGCACAGAACAAGUAGGAUGCACCAGGAUGGUCUUUUUCAUUUCAGGUUGCUAGUCCUAGACGGACUAAACCCCUGUGUUGAGUCCCCUAAGUCAAAUGCAGCAUGAUGCAAAUAAGCGUUCCAACUAGGGAUCCAGCAUGAAGUCAAGUUAUUCUAUGUUCAAAACCUGGGUCGGUGUUCAGACAGUGUACCCGGCGGACAACUCGAAUCGAGGAGGGGGCAACUUAUCGGUGACCCGCGGGGUCAGGCGCCUUGGUAACUUAUCCGGCCUCUUUCGUAUUUCAAGGUAUGACACUAACAGAAUAGGGAGUCUUAACCAGUAAGCACAUCCUUGAAGGUAAAGAGAGAAAGGUCUCGGCACAGUUUAUAUACAGUUCAAAUAAUAUCAAAGCGGUAACAAUUAGCACAUUAAGCACAAAGCAUGUGGGAAAAUCAGAUAUAACAAAAUACAACAUGUUAUCUAAGCUCGAAUUCUGAACCCUGAACAAAACGUUCUAGGUUCUUCUCCCAGCAGAGUCACCAUAGCUGUCACACCUCCUUUUUCACUAACAUCCCCGCAAAGGAGCGUAAAGGAGUUUUUCCAAUUAAAGGACAAUCGGAACGGGAUUGAGUUAUUAAUUAUUCAGAGUCGCCACCUGGGAUAUUAAUGGUGUCCCAAGUCACCGGUUGAAUCCCGAACCGAGGAAAGAUAUGACUCUAUUAGAGUCUGCGAACCAGAAAUCCGCAGGGUCUCAAGGGAGACUAGCUCUACAGAGCCUUACUGCUUGGGAUACUGUGCCUUUGAGUAAGGAAUUAUGUUAACCCGGGAGAAGGUGUUAGACAUUCCCGGGUUCCGUGGUUCUAUCACGGUCGCUUAACUGUUGCAUUUGAUUUUAUCUGAUUUUAAUACAUGCUAACUUAUGUGCAUUUUAUUUGUAAACCGCUUUUUAUAUUUAUUUAUUUUAAAAGAAUUGCGACGUCGUGAAAACGCAUUUCGAACCACGUCGCAAUCAAUGCACCCGUGGUUGUCAACAUAAUUCGACUUCAUCGAGAUUUGGAUUUGGGUCGCAUCAAUGUGCACCCGAAUUAAAGAAAUUAAUUUAACUAAAUCGCGCUUAAUGGUUCAAACGUAAUAUUAUUCUGGGAAAGAUCGUUGAAAUUCGCUAAACGGCCCUUCAAAAUCCUAAUCAUUUUUAAUAACUAAUUAUUGAGGGCCCCACAUUUAUUCUUGUUCGGUGAGGCUCAUCUCCAUUUUUGAACCAUUUUUCGAUUGUUAUUUGUAUUAUAAGAAUUAAGACGCCAUGAAAACACGUUUCUAACCCCGUCUCCAUCAAGGCACCCAUGGUUAUCAACGCAUUUCGACUUCGUCGAGAUACGAACUUGGGUCACAUCAAUGCGCACCCAAGUUUAAAGAAGUAAUUUAUUAAAUGACGGGCCUAGAGCGACUAGCGUAUUGUUAAGUUUGCGGGAGGCCGUGAAAUUUGCCAAACGGCACGUCCCGAAUUAUAAGCAUUAAAAUCAAUUAAGUGAGGGCCAUGAAUUUGUUUUAUUUGGCAUGGCUCGCCUCAAUUUAUUUCAGAAGAUUGCACUCUACUAAAGCAAAUUAAGAGUGUUCGCGUUUAUUUCUUUCUAAGUCUAAUAUUGUUCUCAUAAUCUAAUCUGAACUAGAGCUAAUGCUCGACUUAAUUAUUAUCAAUCUCCAAAAUGGCCAAUACAAAGUCUAGCACGAGAGUAAAGCACUAGCAUCCUAAUUUUGCAGAUUCUAAAAAUAAACUUUGCAAACGUGGUCACAAGCUCCUUCAUAUAUUUUAAUAUUAGAAAGAAAAAAACAAAAAUUACAAAAAUGCAUUCAUCACAGUAGUGAUUUGGUAUCACUUACUGGUAUUCACGUAUCCUCCAUUUUGAGAUGCUCACAAAUUACUACAUCAAUAAAGCAUGAAAAUUAGACUUCUUUAAUAUAAGACGAUUGGUAAAAGUUAACAAAUCUGUCAUGCUAAUCCCAAAUCUAAAGCAAAGCGUAAGUGAAUUCUUCAAAACUCCAAUACAAAGUACAGAAUAUGUUGUACCCAGUGACAAUUAAUAAAAUCAUUUCCAAGAACAUUGAACAAUUUCCAACAAUUCCUAACUAAAUCACAGACGGUAUAGAUGGCCUUUGAGUAAACCAACUUUUAUUCAUAUCAUGACUUGGCUAUUUGAAGCAAACAAUAAACCAGACUUAUUCAUUUAUUGAACAAUAAUAAUCCAACAAACAAAGAUAAUAAAAUUACUCUCUAUCAAACCAACACGAAGAUGCAUACUGACAAUAACCAAAAUUAGCUCAGAAAAUCGACACUGAUACAAUGGUAUUAUAUCUAACGGACUAAUGGACUUAAACACUCACCAUAUCUACCAUUACCAUCGGCUUACUGGGAAAACAGAACAAUCCACGUGAAAUCAUUCCCUUAGAUAAUUCAUUCGAUGCAAUUAACAACAAUUAAGAGUUCAAAUCGAGCAUAUAGAUGCAAAAGGGAACAGUAGACUAAUCUUGAAACAUAUUCAACAGGAGAACAAUUCAAUAUCAACGCACUCAGAUGAAAACUCGAUCAUAUUAUACCAAAAAAUCAAACGAACACAGAGUGACCCAAAACAAUAAUGAGAAAACAAACUAGAAAAAGAGAGGAACCUUGUAUUAAUGAAUCAAUCAUAGAAUCGAGAUGACAGUCGAAAUAGUUGAACAACGACCGGAAAACCACCAAAAGUGACCUCGACGAACUUGACGGAUGGAUCUCAGCAAAAUUUCAGCCACAUCCAACAACUAUAAUUGACAGAAAAUCAUGCGAAGUUCCAGAAAAGAAAUUGAAGCAAAAGAGUGAAAAUUUGAAUAGCCUUCAAACACUUUAUUUUUAUGUUUUUCGCUCAUUUUUCCUUUUGAAUCUCACCAUUUUUCUUAUAUGUGUUUUCUUUUAAUUUGAUGGAAAGAGUGCUACAAAGAUGGGGGAAGGGAAAGAGAUAGAAUUCGGAUAUUUUUGAAAAGCUCUCACAACUUGUUUUGUUGAUGAGAAAGUGACGAAAGGAGAAGAAAAUCCAGAUCCAGAAAUGGGGACCCCCUUAAUUUUGUUUUGGCAAAUGGUUUGAUAGAGGGUAUGGGGUGUGGUGUUAUGUGCGGUAGUUUUAUUUAAGGGAAGGUAUUGUAUGAGGUAACAUUUUGCGGGAAAGGUUUUAGGUGGGGGAAUAUUUUGGGGAAGAUAUUUUGGA
rnacentral:lncRNA from 1 species